UACGAAGGGGGCUAGCGUUGCUCGGAAUCACUGGGCGUAAAGCGUGCGCAGGCGGCUCCUUAAGUCAGAUGUGAAAUCCCCGGGCUUAACCGGGGAACUGCGUCUGAUACUGGAUGGCUUGAGUUCGGGAGAGGGAUGCGGAAUUCCAGGUGUAGCGGUGAAAUGCGUAGAUAUCUGGAGGAACACCGGUGGCGAAGGCGGCAUCCUGGACCGAUACUGACGCUGAGGAGCGAAAGCCAGGGGAGCAAACGGG
rnacentral:rRNA from 1 species